AAGUGCUUGCAAACAGGACUCAACAGACUUACUGCUGAAAGCCUUAAAGCAUGGAUACUUUUUUUAUGCUUUCUUUUAUUCUUGAUAAGCUUAGUUAUAAAAGGUGCGCCUACGCUCAAGGCACAGGUCCUGGUGCAUAGACAUGACAGGCUCAGGCACCCUCCAAAAGGCGCGCGCCUUGACGCCUUUUUCUCAGGCUCAACUCUCAAGGCAUAGUGCCUUAUGGUAUAAGGCUCCAAUUGCUGACAAGUAAUUUUUUUUUAAUAAAGGGCAAAACCAUGUGACUUUUACGGUUGCUACCGGUUAGAAUUUACUAUAUUGAAAAGAGGGGAAAGAAAGCACUAAAUUUUUUCAUUUCUUUCCUUAUCUCUUUCAAUGACCGGUCAUGUAAACUACUCUUUUUUCUAUUUAAAAGUAACUGUUUUAUGUAAGGUGUGACAUGAUAACACAAUAAUAUAUGCAUUUUAUAUGUUAUAUUGGUCUAUUGUUCGUCGUACUUUCUCCAGAUAAUUAAUCUUUUAGAGCUUUUACACUUCAUAUUUCUAUGUAUCUCUCCUCGUAUAUAUUUUGUUUGUUUUGUAGGAAUAGGACUUGGAUUGAUAACAUUUUUUGGAGUUUGGUUCGUAUGCGGAGCAAAGAAGUGUUCGUAGAAUGUCAUGAUUACUAGACGAUGGACACCCAUAACUUGGAUCACUGUAGACGAAAUAGAGGUAUUGGAGCAGCUCACUCCGAGCUCUGCUCGCGGCCAAUGUAUUUGAGUCGCGACCUUCUCGUGGCUUGGAUCUUGAAGAAAACUAAGGAAACAAGCAGUCUACUCCGAGACCUAGUCGCGGAAAUUAAUACUCCUCCGCACCCUGCCCGCGACUCCUCUCUUCAAGCACGAAGGAAAUAGGUGUUGACAGUCCGCUCCGCGACCAAGGGGUGGCCGAUUCUCAUGCGCCGCAACCUGGUUGUGGUCGUCCUGCGUAGUUAUGUUUUCGGUACACUUUAGGCUAAUGUUAUGAGACUCCAAACCUAGUCAAACUCCUAAUAUGUGGGAGAUAUAUAAAUAAGUUUUGGAGUGUGUAAAAGAACUUCUUCUUUUUCGGGCCCUUUAGAAAUCUUUUUGUUUUGACCUACGGGAGUUCUUGUUUCCUUAUUCCUUGAAGAAUGAACUCAAAUUUCCAGCAAUAUUAAUUGAAUUACAAAUGCAGGGAAACAGUUCUACACAGCAUAUGUUCCUCUUAGUGCAGUUGCUGUAGUGGCAGGGAUAUCAUUCUCCUUAAACUUAUAUAUGUGCUUCAGAAAAAGCAAUGCAAAAGGGAGACCCACUGGGCUUGAAGAGACUGAAAGUAUGGAAAAUCUGCACUUACAAUUGAAUGCUAUCAAAGUUGCCACUGACAACUUAAGUUUCAUUAUUCCUUGUUCUCUAAUAUGUGAAACUUUAUUGAUAAUCCUGAUAUCUUCUUGUAGGGACAUAUGUGGUAAUUUAUUUUAUUUCUCGAGAAUUUCAGGGGACACUUCCAGAUGGACAAGUUGUAGCUGUUAAGAGGCUUACAAGUCCUUCAGGACAAGGAAUGAAGGAGUUCAAGAGUGGAGCCUACUUAAACUCUGUUCUUUAGAGCUGAACUGAACUCAACAGAACUGAAUAAGAAUCUUGUCAAACUUUAUGGAUUUUGCUUUGAUGGGAAGGGAAAAUUACUUGUGCCUUGACCGCUUCCUUUUUGAUUCAAAGAGGGGAGUCCAAUUGAAGUGGGAAACUCGACAAAAGAUCAUAUUGGGAAUUGCAAGAGGAACUCUGCAUCUCCAUGAAGAUUCUCGACUCAGGAUCAUCCACCGUGAUCUUAAGCCUAGCAACAUUUUAUUGGAUGGAGAAAUGAAGCCCAAAAUUGCAGAUUUUGGAAUGGCAAAGCUUUUUAAUGUAAAGCAUGAUGUUUUUGGUGUUGCGCGCUUUGUUUAGGUGCCAAGCAUUUGCUAUGCAUUAGUACAACAUAAUUAGUCCAGCUUGGAGAGAAAGCAAGUUAGUUAGCUCUAUAAGUAAAAGAGAUCAUUCAGAGAAAGGCGCAUGGUGAAUGUGUAGUUUUUUUUUGUUUUGUUUUUGUUGUAUUUUGGAGAAGAAAAAAGUCUUUUUCAAGUGCUUGUAACUAUCCUCUGUUAAUGCUGUUUGAUCAGUUAUUAAUCAAUCAAACUUCAGCUUCUUACUUUAAUCCUAA